CCCUACGGCUGGGAAACGAACUUGGGCCGCUCGUUUAGCAGGCGAUCAUUUUACCACUGAACCACCGGCGU